rnacentral:rRNA from 1 species
GACGAACGCUGGCGGCGUGCCUAAUACAUGCAAGUAGAACGCUGAAGAGAGGAGCUUGCUCUUCUUGGAUGAGUUGCGAACGGGUGAGUAACGCGUAGGUAACCUGCCUGGUAGCGGGGGAUAACUAUUGGAAACGAUAGCUAAUACCGCAUAAAAUUGAUUAUUGCAUGAUAAUUAAUUGAAAGAUGCAACUGCAUCACUACCAGAUGGACCUGCGUUGUAUUAGCUAGUUGGUGAGGUAACGGCUCACCAAGGCGACGAUACAUAGCCGACCUGAGAGGGUGAUCGGCCACACUGGGACUGAGACACGGCCCAGACUCCUACGGGAGGCAGCAGUAGGGAAUCUUCGGCAAUGGGGGGAACCCUGACCGAGCAACGCCGCGUGAGUGAAGAAGGUUUUCGGAUCGUAAAGCUCUGUUGUAAGAGAAGAACGGGUGUGAGAGUGGAAAGUUCACACUGUGACGGUAUCUUACCAGAAAGGGACGGCUAACUACGUGCCAGCAGCCGCGGUAAUACGUAGGUCCCGAGCGUUGUCCGGAUUUAUUGGGCGUAAAGCGAGCGCAGGCGGUUAGAUAAGUCUGAAGUUAAAGGCUGUGGCUUAACCAUAGUAUGCUUUGGAAACUGUUUAACUUGAGUGCAGAAGGGGAGAGUGGAAUUCCAUGUGUAGCGGUGAAAUGCGUAGAUAUAUGGAGGAACACCGGUGGCGAAAGCGGCUCUCUGGUCUGUAACUGACGCUGAGGCUCGAAAGCGUGGGGAGCAAACGGGAUUAGAUACCCUGGUAGUCCACGCCGUAAACGAUGAGUGCUAGGUGUUAGGCCCUUUCCGGGGCUUAGUGCCGCAGCUAACGCAUUAAGCACUCCGCCUGGGGAGUACGACCGCAAGGUUGAAACUCAAAGGAAUUGACGGGGGCCCGCACAAGCGGUGGAGCAUGUGGUUUAAUUCGAAGCAACGCGAAGAACCUUACCAGGUCUUGACAUCCCUCUGACCGCUCUAGAGAUAGAGUUUUCCUUCGGGACAGAGGUGACAGGUGGUGCAUGGUUGUCGUCAGCUCGUGUCGUGAGAUGUUGGGUUAAGUCCCGCAACGAGCGCAACCCCUAUUGUUAGUUGCCAUCAUUCAGUUGGGCACUCUAGCGAGACUGCCGGUAAUAAACCGGAGGAAGGUGGGGAUGACGUCAAAUCAUCAUGCCCCUUAUGACCUGGGCUACACACGUGCUACAAUGGCUGGUACAACGAGUCGCAAGCCGGUGACGGCAAGCUAAUCUCUGAAAGCCAGUCUCAGUUCGGAUUGUAGGCUGCAACUCGCCUACAUGAAGUCGGAAUCGCUAGUAAUCGCGGAUCAGCACGCCGCGGUGAAUACGUUCCCGGGCCU